rnacentral:rRNA from 1 species
UACGGAGGGAGCUAGCGUUGUUCGGAUUUACUGGGCGUAAAGGGCGCGUAGGCGGCCAACUAAGUCAGACGUGAAAUCCCUCGGCUCAACCGGGGAACUGCGUCUGAUACUGGAUGGCUUGAAUUCGGGAGAGGGAUGCGGAAUUCCAGGUGUAGCGGUGAAAUGCGUAGAUAUCUGGAGGAACACCGGUGGCGAAGGCGGCAUCCUGGACCGAGAUUGACGCUGAUGCGCGAAAGCCAGGGGAGCAAACGGG